rnacentral:rRNA from 1 species
GAUGAACGCUGGCGGCGUGCUUAACACAUGCAAGUCGAACGAAGCAUUUAGAACAGAUUACUUCGGUUUGAAGUUCUUUAUGACUGAGUGGCGGACGGGUGAGUAACGCGUGGGUAACCUGCCUUGUACUGGGGGAUAGCAGCUGGAAACGGCUGGUAAUACCGCAUAAGCGCACCAUGUUGCCUGACAUGGUGUGAAAAACUCCGGUGGUAUAAGAUGGACCCGCGUCUGAUUAGCUAGUUGGUGAGAUAACAGCCCACCAAGGCGAUGAUCAGUAGCCGACCUGAGAGGGUGACCGGCCACAUUGGGACUGAGACACGGCCCAGACUCCUACGGGAGGCAGCAGUGGGGAAUAUUGCACAAUGGAGGAAACUCUGAUGCAGCGACGCCGCGUGAGUGAAGAAGUAAUUCGUUAUGUAAAGCUCUAUCAGCAGGGAAGAUAGUGACGGUACCUGACUAAGAAGCUCCGGCUAAAUACGUGCCAGCAGCCGCGGUAAGAC